GGGUUUGCUGUUUCCUAGAGUAAUUGAAAAUUUUAUCUUCCUAUUUUGUUUACCCCUCAGCUAAACCCAGAUACGUAGUACUCAGUCAGAAAUUACUUGAAAUGUUGAUGCUAAAAACUGAAGGGCAGAGUAGAGAGAAGGGAAAUGUUUUCUUGUGGAAUCUUUAGGUGUAGGUUUUUUCUUAAUUGUGAGAGAAGUAAUUUUGCUUUCCCCUCACUCUGACUUUCAUUCCUUUGUUAAGAGCUACACAGUGCCUAAGAGAUGUCAUUGUUAUUUUCUGGUUUGUGGUCGGUAACACUGAAUUUCUUGCACACACACGAGGCAUGUACCUCCCAUGCAGAUGUUGGGACUACAGAAGGAAAGGGUAACCAGAAAACUUAAUUAUUCCCAUGCUUCAAACCAUAAUGUUAAAACCUUUUGGGCAACUAAAUCUAGUUGCUUAUUAGUAUAAGCAGUACUUAUGUGGUGGGCUGGC
rnacentral:lncRNA from 1 species